rnacentral:tRNA from 1 species
GCGCCGUUGGUGUAGUGGUUAGCAUUGAAGCCUUCCAAGCUUUAGCCCGGGGUUCGAAUCCCCGACGGCGCA